rnacentral:misc_RNA from 1 species
UGAGCAGCCAGGACAAUGACCUACACC